rnacentral:lncRNA from 1 species
GCUUGUGUGAUUAUCUGUCGAUGCAUUGAUACUUGGGUUUUGGGAAGACCCAAGAUAAAAGAUGGUACAAACAAGUAGCAGGUGACUCUUUUCCUCUUUUCGAUGAGGCUAUGAAACUCAAAGGAGAGCUUAGCCUGAGAUGACUCCUUUACUGAAGCUUUUCAAGAUCCUGAGCGGAAGAAGACCCAGGGACGCUGUACCUGGACUCAUACCGUGGAAUCUGAGCUCAUACGAGGAGGUUGUUCUGAUCUAAGUUUGUGCUGAUUUCAUGUGAGGCAUUAGGAAACAAUGAUAUUAUUAGAAGGAGAAGCAAAACCACAGUGCAUCCAUAUUCAUGUAGCAACGGGGCAAACAAUGAGUAAAGGCACAGAAACCAAAGCCAUGUUGGGUGGAUUCAUGUUUGAGCCCCACCACCUACAUGUUAUAUAUGCUUGGGAUGUUCCUACAUGUUCCCAUUCUUUGAUUUCCGCACUAUGAAAUGAAAUGGACGGAGGGCUACUCUCAUGAAAUUAUCUUGGGGAUUAAUGAAUCUCAGCACGGUCUUUAGAAGAACAACUGACACAUGCUAGUGUCUGGAUGUUGUUGAUGUACUGCAAGGAGAAGCAGACUAAACUAGAUAGUGCCAGUGGAGUUCAGAGCAGCCACCAGUCUGGCACCAUUCUUUGACACCAAGUCCCCUGAAAAUCACCAUGCACAUCCAUUGGAGCCUUCUUCAGGAUUCCAGCUUAUUCAGAAGACAGGGUGAAACUCCCAGCCUCCUGAGACUGAGAAACUACUAGAUUCUUGGACUUUCCAUUCACAGAUGGCCAUUAUUGGGCUAGUUGGACUGCAACCUGUCCAUCCCAUGGACACUUCCUGCUGUGCAGCUUUCUCCACACCAUAGGAAUCAUUACUCUGACUUCACUGGCUGGGAUCUGGGGACACAGUGUUCACAGUCUCAUUCUGAAAUCCCUUGUUUGUCCCAAUUGUCUGUUAGGAUGUGGGGAUCUCGCUUGUUCCAUGAGAAAUGGCAGAGGCUUUUCCUAUAAAAGUAGCACACAAGACGACAGCAUAAUCUAUGAAAUCAAUAUUCUGUCCAUGUGAGGUUUGUAACUUUUAGUACCACUUUGAAUUAAUGAUGUUCAAUGAACAGUUUAAAACUUUAUAAUAAAUUGAAUUUUAAGAC